AUUGGGUGAGAGACAACCGAUCUGAAUCAAAUUAGUUUUUCGGUAAAACGUUGUCAGGUCCAAGACAACGUAAAUAUUUAGCCCACAUUUCGGUCCAAAAUAUCCUCACGCGCUUCUCCUUUUUUGUUAAUAUCAGACUUUUGGAUACCCAUUUAACUUUCCUCAUUGUUCCAUUUUAUCUCUCCUCUAUAAUAUCCCUCUGUCGCCUUAAGUCUUCACGCCACCGUCGCCGUAAACCAUCUUCAUCUUUGUCUCAUAUUUUUUCUCUCUCAAAACCUUUCUCUUAGUCUCGUCGUCCUCUCAUCUUCGUCUUCGAGAACUUGUUUUUGCUCCGGUGAAGUACAUAAAUUAUGCCGUUGUCACUAUUAAGUCGCCGUCUCAAAGCGUCUUCCUCUCUAAUUCGAGACAGAACAAGGUUGGUCUUGCUGGAUGUGGAUUACGAGGGGGAUGAACAGUUAAUGGACCCGCAAGAAAACUUACGAACAUGCAAACACAAAAGUAUAGAUCUAUGCAGAUUUGUGAAUGUCCAAACCGGAUCUAAGAAAAUAGGUAAAGACGUAAGUGGAUCUGGGAAGAAGAAACGACCAAGAUACAUAGCUAGAGUUUUUUUGCAAACGAUGAAGAAACAUUAGAUUUAAAACCAACGACUGUGACUAAGAGCACAAACAAAACAAGAAAUUUUGGAGUGAAAAGGGAGAAGACGACGGAGCAUAUGCUAUGCAUGAAAUCAAUCGAAACAUGUUUUUUUUUGGAAAAAAAUCGAAUUUAAUCAAAAAUUCUCAAUUAGUUAAUGAAUUAAUAUUUAUCUAUAAAUUUAAAUACAUGUUCAUAUA